GACGAACGCUGGCGGCGUGCUUAACACAUGCAAGUCGAACGGAAAGGCCCUGCUUUUGUGGGGUGCUCGAGUGGCGAACGGGUGAGUAACACGUGAGUAACCUGCCCUUGACUUUGGGAUAACUUCAGGAAACUGGGGCUAAUACCGGAUAGGAGCUCCUGCUGCAUGGUGGGGGUUGGAAAGUUUCGGCGGUUGGGGAUGGACUCGCGGCUUAUCAGCUUGUUGGUGGGGUAGUGGCUUACCAAGGCUUUGACGGGUAGCCGGCCUGAGAGGGUGACCGGCCACAUGGGGACGGAGAUACGGCCCAGACUCCUACGGGAGGCAGCAGUGGGGAAUAUUGCACAAUGGGCGGAAGCCUGAUGCAGCAACGCCGCGUGCGGGAUGACGGCCUUCGGGUUGUAAACCGCUUUCGCCUGUGACGAAGCGUGAGUGACGGUAAUGGGUAAAGAAGCACCGGCAAACUACGU
rnacentral:rRNA from 1 species